AGUCUCAGGAGUCCAGUGUCCCUGGAGGUGGGAUCAGAACUGGUUCUGUCCAGUUUGUCUUCGGAUGCUCUGAGGGAAGCUGAGACGGUGGUGCUGAGAGAUCUCAAUGAGUCCAGUGUGACUCUUCAGGGUGCUGCAGCUGUGGCUCCAGAUCUAGACAGACUCAAGGAAAGUCUAGACAAAGCCAAGAAUGAGAAAAACCGUGGCGAGCUCAGAGUGAACAAUAGCUUCCUUCCUGGAUCCAGUGGUAAUCCGUCAACCAAAGUAACGAUGGUGGGCUACACUGAACACGUGAACAAGCUUAAAGAGCUUCUUUAUGAUUACCAGGCAAAUCAGGUUUCAACUCAAGAAGUUAUCAGCCUGCAGUGUCCUGAACUUGUUGACUGCUUUGAUAAAAUCUUAGAAAUACUUGGCAUGAAGCAGACCGAGGGUGUGUACCUGAAAAAAGACCUUUUCGGAAACUUGAUAGUAAGCAGUAUGAAAGACGGGGUCAACAGGACAAUUGUGAAGGUCAGUUCAAAACUGCAUGGCACCCUCACCAGAGAGAUGAGAGGGAGGGAGGAGGACGAUUUGUUUGCACGUGUGAUGUGGUGCAUCCUGAGAAAAAAUGGAAACUGGGACAGAGUCCCCAAAACGGCCAAUUACAACCUGGAAAUGAGGGAUGUUGCAGGAGGAAUUAUGGAUGCACACGGAGUCCUGUGGCAGGUGGAUCUUCAAAACCUAGCAGUCAUAUCUGCAGGACACAAAACAAAUCUCAAACGACUUGAGAACCUGGAAGACUUUAUUGUUCCUUUGGAAUGGGACAGCAUGGCGUACGGCGAGCACAUGAAGAGGGUACAGCUGCAGCCUUGUACACCAGAGUACAGGAGAGUGAAGCAGGGAUUCAAACGAACUGCUAACUACACGAUCAUCAAGAUUGACCGCGUAAAGAACAUUCAUCUACGUCGUGCUUAUGAGGCACAGAAGAAAAAAAUAUUUGAAAAGAACAAACAAGAGGGAUCUGCAAAUGAAAAGUUUCUAUACCAUGGGACAACGGAGGUCAACUGUGACUCCAUCAUGAAAACUGGCUUCAGCAGGCGCUUCUGUGGGCAAAACGCAACAAGUUACGGUGAGGGAACCUACUUUGCUGUAGACGCCAGCUACUCCAGCCACCCCACCUACUCCAAACCUGCUGCUGAUGGUUCUCAGCUGAUGUUUGUGGCCAGAGUCUUGACGGGCGUCUACACUCUGGGCCAAAGAGACAUGAAGGUUCCUCCACCUCUCGACGACCAGGAGCCUCACAUACGAUACGACAGCGUGGUGGAUAAAAUGGACAGACCCAACAUGUUUGUCGUGUUCCACGAUGACCAAGCUUAUCCGGAUUACCUCAUCACAUUCAAGCAAUGACCCUGAAAACGUCUCAUGGUCCUGCCAAAGUUGGAGUGAAGUAAUGGUUUCUGGGUAACAUUAGGUUAAAAAUAUUUCCUGGAUUACUGGGAAACCUCAAAUCUGUUGAUCCUUUAACAAAAUUUUAUUGUAACCUUGAUUAUUAUUUUAUCAGAUUUUUGAGAGUCCUAUGAGGUUUUUUGUUUGAUUUCUUUAUCUCUUAAAACUAGAGGCCGGUCCAGUCCACACACAAAUAAUAAACUUGUUAAAAGGGUCUUUUGAAACUUAGUGACGUCUUCCUGUCAGAAAGACACAAUUUAUUGAAACCUUUUUGACCUAAUCUGUAAAGAAAUUGUAAAUAAAACAAUCUUCAAUAUAUCUUGAAUAAAUCUUAAAUAGUUUCAACUGGGUUUACUCCCCAGGAAGCUGAAAACCUGACAUAAAAAAAAAAGAGAAAAAAGAGAAAAAAAACCCCAGACUCUACAGAAGCAAAAUUAAAUACGAGUGAUUUAGAGGUUUUGCAUAAGUACUGUAAAUAUAAAUGAGCAAACAUAAAA